rnacentral:tRNA from 1 species
GUCUUCGUGGUGUAAUGGUCAGCACACUGAGCCAGUAUUUAAGAAGUCCGUGGUUCGAUCCCCGGCGAAGGCA